UGCAAGUCGAACGAAGCACCUUUUGAGAUUCUUCGGAUGAUCGAUUGGUGACUGAGUGGCGGACGGGUGAGUAACGCGUGGGUAACCUGCCCUGUACAGGGGGAUAACAGCUGGAAACGGCUGCUAAUACCGCAUAAGCGCACGAGGAGACAUCUCCUUGUGUGAAAAACUCCGGUGGUACAGGAUGGGCCCGCGUCUGAUUAGCUGGUUGGCAGGGUAACGGCCUACCAAGGCAACGAUCAGUAGCCGGUCUGAGAGGAUGAACGGCCACAUUGGAACUGAGACACGGUCCAAACUCCUACGGGAGGCAGCAGUGGGGAAUAUUGCACAAUGGGGGAAACCCUGAUGCAGCAACGCCGCGUGAGUGAAGAAGUAUUUCGGUAUGUAAAGCUCUAUCAGCAGGGAAGAUAAUGACGGUACCUGACUAARAAGCUCCGGCUAAAUACGUGCCAGCAGCCGCGGUAAUACGUAUGGAGCAAGCGUUAUCCGGAUUUACUGGGUGUAAAGGGUGCGUAGGUGGCAGUGCAAGUCAGAUGUGAAAGGCCGGGGCUCAACCCCGGAGCUGCAUUUGAAACUGCUCGGCUAGAGUACAGGAGAGGCAGGCGGAAUUCCUAGUGUAGCGGUGAAAUGCGUAGAUAUUAGGAGGAACACCAGUGGCGAAGGCGGCCUGCUGGACUGUUACUGACACUGAGGCACGAAAGCGUGGGGAGCAAACAGGAUUAGAUACCCUGGUAGUCCACGCCGUAAACGAUGAAAUACUA
rnacentral:rRNA from 1 species